ACAUUGAAACUAAAACUGAAAUUACGGAAAUUAAACACAGUGCAUGCCUAUAUCAUAAGGAAGUGAAAAUGGCCAUUCGUCGAAAGGAAAUAAUGACGACUAGAGUGUAAAUUCUCAGAAACAAGUUGGCUAGUUAUAUAUAAAGUGUCCGUUGGGCGUUCUCAGACAGACACACAACAGAGACGCUUGGGAGAACACUUGGCGCUAUACUUCCACAACAUACGACGGUAUUAAACUUUGGAACAGACGGAACACUUCUGCAAACAGCAAAAUGUCUGACAGAAGUGGCAGCAAAGGGUACUCCGGAACUGGAACAAAAGCUGACCUUGGCAACCACUCCAACCAGAUGAACCCAAACAACCCCGAGUAUCGAGGGGGGGUCCAGCAGUUACUCUGGGGCAGGUACAAGACCGGACCUCAACAACCACUCCAAUCAGCUCAACCCAAACCACUCCCAGUAUGGUGGGGGCACGCCUGGAGGCAAGAAGUGAUGACGUGUCAACUGAUGGUUGGCUUGCACAGACACUACAGACACAUCACGUGACAUUGUGUCAGUAAGGCUACUACUGUGCCAUGGUUGUGAAGUCAUAUACUGACCAGAUAAAAUAUAAUAAUAAUAAUAAUUCCAUUUGAUGUAUAGUAAAGAUAUAUAGUAUGAAAUAAAUAUGUUAUAACUGCAAA
rnacentral:lncRNA from 1 species